UACGUAGGGUCCGAGCGUUGUCCGGAAUUACUGGGCGUAAAGAGCUCGUAGGUGGUUUGUCGCGUUGUCCGUGAAAACUCACAGCUCAACUGUGGGCGUGCGGGCGAUACGGGCAGACUGGAGUACUGCAGGGGAGACUGGAAUUCCUGGUGUAGCGGUGGAAUGCGCAGAUAUCAGGAAGAACACCGGGUGGCGAAGGCGGCUCUCUGGGCCUUACCUGACGCUGAGGAGCGAAAGCGUGGGUAGCGAACAGG
rnacentral:rRNA from 1 species